rnacentral:SRP_RNA from 1 species
UGAUGAGCUAGUCCGGGUAGCCCGGCGUUACCUGUAACCCGAAAUCGCCGAUAUGCGGGGGACGAAGCCAAUGGAAGAUGCGUCAAAGGGAUUCCAGCCUGUGAUCUCAACUGAGAAACCCCGUCCUGCUUGGAUGAUGCAGGUAUGUGGACUUGCUGGAAAACAGGUCCUCAUACCCUAACUGCGGAAACCGGUCGAGGCCCGGAAGGGAGCAGACUCACUGUGGGCAACCGUCGCUUGCGGGGUCGCGGGGUGGAGAAGAGAUUCCAGUCUACUGAAAUCUCCCAGAUACAACGACCUGCGGUGUGCUCAUCACUA